rnacentral:rRNA from 1 species
GACAGAGGGUGCAAACGUUGCUCGGAAUUACUGGGCGUAAAGCGCGUGUAGGCGGUUUCGCAAGUCAGGUGUGAAAGCCCAAGGCUCAACCUUGGAAGUGCACUUGAUACUACGGAGCUUGAGUACUGAAGAGGAGAGCGGAAUUCCCGGUGUAGAGGUGAAAUGCGUAGAUAUCGGGAGGAACACCAGUGGCGAAGGCGACUAUCUGGGCUGCAACUGACGCUGAGGCGCGAAGGCUAGGGUAGCAAACAGG